UGGGGAAUAUUGCGCAAUGGGCGCAAGCCUGAUGACGCAACGCCGCGUGGGGGAUGAAGGUCUUCGGAUCGUAAACCCCUGUCGAAUGGGACGAAAGACUCGCGAGUGAAUACUUCGCGAGAGUGACGGUACCGUUAAAGGAAGCCACGGCUAACUCUGUGCCAGCAGCCGCGGUAAUACAGAGGUGGCAAGCGUUGUUCGGAAUUACUGGGCGUAAAGGGCGCGUAGGCGGCCCUCUAAGUCAGACGUGAAAUCCCCCGGCUUAACCUGGGAACUGCGUCUGAUACUGGAGGGCUUGAGUAUGGGAGAGGGAUGUAGAAUUCCAGGUGUAGCGGUGAAAUGCGUAGAUAUCUGGAGGAAUACCGGUGGCGAAGGCGGCAUCCUGGACCAUUACUGACGCUGAGGCGCGAAAGCUAGGGGAGCAAACGGGGAUUAGAUACCCGAGUAGUCCCUGAGCGGGCUGGCAAGGCGCAU
rnacentral:rRNA from 1 species